UACGAAGGGGGCUAGCGUUGCUCGGAAUUAUUGGGCGUAAAGGGCGCGUAGGCGGUGCGGUAAGUCACCUGUGAAAUCUCCUGGCUCAACUGGGAGCUUGCAGGCGAAACUGCCGUGCUGGAGUGUGGGAGAGGUGCGUGGAAUUCCUGGUGUAGCGGUGAAAUGCGUAGAUAUCAGGAGGAACACCUGUGGCGAAAGCGGCGCACUGGACCACAACUGACGCUGAGGCGCGAAAGCUAGGGGAGCAAACAGG
rnacentral:rRNA from 1 species